rnacentral:rRNA from 1 species
GAUGAACGCUGGCGGCGUGCCUAAUACAUGCAAGUCGAGCGAACGGACGAGAAGCUUGCUUCUCUGAUGUUAGCGGCGGACGGGUGAGUAACACGUGGAUAACCUACCUAUAGGACUGGGAUAACUUCGGGAAACCGGAGCUAAUACCGGAUAAUAUUUUGAACCGCAUGGUUCAAAAGUGAAAGACGGUCUUGCUGUCACUUAUAGAUGGAUCCGCGCUGCAUUAGCUAGUUGGUAAGGUAACGGCUUACCAAGGCAACGUUGCAUAGCCGACCUGAGAGGGUGAUCGGCCACACUGGAACUGAGACACGGUCCAGACUCCUACGGGAGGCAGCAGUAGGGAAUCUUCCGCAAUGGGCGAAAGCCUGACGGAGCAACGCCGCGUGAGCGAUGGAGGUCUUCGGAUCGUAAAACUCUGUUAUUAGGGAAGAACAUAUGUGUAAGUAACUGUGCACAUCUUGACGGUACCUAAUCAGAAAGCCACGGCUAACUACGUG